CUCCAGUGUGACGCCUGCCAUUAAACGCCGUCUUACGUGGCUUACGAAACUAGUGAUGUGCGGGACUACUGAUUUCCCUUUCCCAUGUGAUACCAAGUAAAAUCCAGGCUGGAAUCGGCGAUACUGUGUGUUUGGAAAAUUGAACCGAGGACACACCAGUAGCCGUGGGACCUUUGGUGGGAGGUGUGUGUGUGGGUGUGGCUGUAGCCAGGAGGCCGGGCUACAGGCACCAUCAGGCCUGAGGAUGGCUGGCCACGCCCGAGGAGGAUGCCACACACCUGCAGUGGAUCAGCGUCGGCGGAGGGAGCGACUUCAUGGUGUGGUGAAGCCUCCACCGACGUGGGAUGAUUGAGUGAGACUCCAUGAGGAGCAUGGGAAGCCCGAGAGCAGCGAACAUUGGGAGUGCUGACACACAGGAGCGGAGAGCACGAGGCAA